CCUACGGGAGGCUGCAGUGAGGAAUAUUGGUCAAUGGGCGCAAGCCUGAACCAGCCAAGUCGCGUGAGGGAAGACGGUCCUAUGGAUUGUAAACCUCUUUUGUCGGGGAGCAAAAGACGCCACGCGUGGCGUUCCGCGAGUACCCGAAGAAAAAGCAUCGGCUAACUCCGUGCCAGCAGCCGCGGUAAUACGGAGGGUCCGAGCGUUAUCCGGAUUUAUGGGGUUUAAAGGGUGCGGCGUCGGAAGAUCAAGUUGGCGGGAAAAUUUGGAGGCUCAACCUCUACGAGCUGUUGAAACUGGUUUUCUUGAGUGAGCGAGAAGGAUGCGGAAUGCGUGGUGUAGCGGUGAAAUGCAGAGAGAUGACGAAGAACUCCGAGUGCGAAGGCAGCAUACCGGAGCGCAACUGACGCUCAUGCACGAAAGUGUGGGUAUCGAACAGGAUUAGAUACCCCAGUAGUC
rnacentral:rRNA from 1 species